AUUGAACGCUGGCGGCAUGCUUUACACAUGCAAGUCGAACGGAAACAGGCCUUCGGGUGCUGACGAGUGUCGAACGGGGGAGUAAUGGAUCGGAACGUGUCCCGAGGUGGUGGAUAACGCAGCGAAAGCUGUGCUAAUACCGCAUGUGAUCUGAUGAUUAAAACGGGGGAGCAAGCAGGAAUGUUUGGCCUCGCGCCUCUGGUGCGGCCGAUGUCAGAUUAGGUAGUUGGUUGGGUAAAGGCCUACCAAGCCGACGAUCUGUAGCUGGUCUGAGAGGACGACCAGCCACACUGGGACUGAGGCACGGCCCAGACUCCUACGGGAGGCAGCAGUGGGGAAUUUUGGACAAUGGGCGCAAGCCUGAUCCAGCAAUGCCGCGUGCGGGAAGAAGGCCUUCGGGUUGUAAACCGCUUUUGUACGGAACGAAAAGGCUCUGGCUAAUACCUGGGGCUGAUGACGGUACCGAAAGAAUAAGCACCGGCUAACUACGUG
rnacentral:rRNA from 1 species